CCAUCAUUUAAAGAAAGCGUAAUAGCUCACUGGUCGAGUCGGCCUGCGCGGAAGAUGUAACGGGGCUAAACCAUGCACCGAAGCUGCGGCAGCGACGCUGAUGCGUUGUUGGGUAGGGGAGCGUUCUGUAAGCCUGUGAAGGUGGCCUGUGAGGGUUGCUGGAGGUAUCAGAAGUGCGAAUGCUGACAUAAGUAACGAUAAAGCGGGUGAAAAGCCCGCUCGCCGGAAGACCAAGGGUUCCUGUCCAACGUUAAUCGGGGCAGGGUGAGUCGACCCCUAAGGCGAGGCCGAAAGGCGUAGUCGAUGGGAAACGGGUUAAUAUUCCCGUACUUGGUGUUACUGCGAAGGGGGGACGGAGAAGGCUAUGUUGGCCGGGCGACGGUUGUCCCGGUUUAAGCGUGUAGGUGUGUGUUCCAGGUAAAUCCGGUUCACUUUAACACUGAGGCGUGAUGACGAGGCACUACGGUGCUGAAGCAACAAAUGCCCUGCUUCCAGGAAAAGCCUCUAAGCAUCAGGUAACAUCAAAUCGUACCCCAAACCGACACAGGUGGUCAGGUAGAGAAUACCAAGGCGCUUGAGAGAACUCGGGUGAAGGAACUAGGCAAAAUGGUGCCGUAACUUCGGGAGAAGGCACGCUGACACGUAGGUGAAGUGAUUUACUCAUGGAGCUGAAGUCAGUCGAAGAUACCAGCUGGCUGCAACUGUUUAUUAAAAACACAGCACUGUGCAAACACGAAAGUGGACGUAUACGGUGUGACGCCUGCCCGGUGCCGGAAGGUUAAUUGAUGGGGUCAGCGCAAGCGAAGCUCCUGAUCGAAGCCCCGGUAAACGGCGGCCGUAACUAUAACGGUCCUAAGGUAGCGAAAUUCCUUGUCGGGUAAGUUCCGACCUGCACGAAUGGCGUAAUGAUGGCCAGGCUGUCUCCACCCGAGACUCAGUGAAAUUGAACUCGCUGUGAAGAUGCAGUGUACCCGCGGCAAGACGGAAAGACCCCGUGAACCUUUACUAUAGCUUGACACUGAACAUUGAGCCUUGAUGUGUAGGAUAGGUGGGAGGCUUUGAAGCGUGGACGCCAGUCUGCAUGGAGCCGGCCUUGAAAUACCACCCUUUAAUGUUUGAUGUUCUAACGUGGACCCGUGAUCCGGGUUGCGGACAGUGUCUGGUGGGUAGUUUGACUGGGGCGGUCUCCUCCUAAAGAGUAACGGAGGAGCACGAAGGUUGGCUAAUCCUGGUCGGACAUCAGGAGGUUAGUGCAAUGGCAUAAGCCAGCUUGACUGCGAGCGUGACGGCGCGAGCAGGUGCGAAAGCAGGUCAUAGUGAUCCGGUGGUUCUGAAUGGAAGGGCCAUCGCUCAACGGAUAAAAGGUACUCCGGGGAUAACAGGCUGAUACCGCCCAAGAGUUCAUAUCGACGGCGGUGUUUGGCACCUCGAUGUCGGCUCAUCACAUCCUGGGGCUGAAGUAGGUCCCAAGGGUAUGGCUGUUCGCCAUUUAAAGUGGUACGCGAGCUGGGUUUAGAACGUCGUGAGACAGUUCGGUCCCUAUCUGCCGUGGGCGCUGGAGAACUGAGGGGGGCUGCUCCUAGUACGAGAGGACCGGAGUGGACGCAUCACUGGUGUUCGGGUUGUCAUGCCAAUGGCACUGCCCGGUAGCUAAAUGCGGAAGAGAUAAGUGCUGAAAGCAUCUAAGCACGAAACUUGCCCCGAGAUGAGUUCUCCCUGAGACUUAGAGUCUCCUGAAGGAACGUUGAAGACGACGACGUUGAUAGGCCGGGUGUGUAAGCGCAGCGAUGCGUUGAGCUAACCGGUACUAAUGAACCGUGAGGCUUAACCUU
rnacentral:rRNA from 1 species